rnacentral:rRNA from 1 species
GACGAACGCUGGCGGCGUGCUUAACACAUGCAAGUCGAGCGAGGCCCUCCUUCGGGGGGUGUCCUAGCGGCGAACGGGUGAGUAACACGUGGGCAACCUGCCCUCAGCUCUGGGAUAACUCCAAGAAAUUGGGGCUAAUACCGGAUAUGACCGCUGACCGCAUGGUCUGGUGGUGGAAAGAUUUAUCGGCUGGGGAUGGGCCCGCGGCCUAUCAGCGUGUUGGUGGGGUAGUGGCCUACCAAGGCGACGACGGGUAGCCGGCCUGAGAGGGUGACCGGCCACACUGGGGCUGAGACACGGCCCAGAAUCCUACGGGAGGCAGCAGUAGGGAAUAUUGCGCAAUGGGCGGAAGACUGACGCAGCGACGCCGCGUGGGGGAUGACGGCCUUCGGGUUGUAAACCUCUUUCAGCAGGGACGAAGCGCAAGUGACGGUACCUGCAGAAGAAGCACCGGCCAACUACGUGCCAGCCGCCGCGGUAACAC